rnacentral:ncRNA from 1 species
CAGCGUGCUCCGGGGUCGGUGAAAGUCCGAACCGGCGGUGACAGUCCGCGACCCGUGCGAAGUCGUUCCGACGGCCUCGCCCGGUUGACCAGGUGGAACUCCUGGACCGACGGUUAAAGUCCGGAUGGGAGGCAGCACGCGG